GACUUCAGGUGAUCUGCCCACCUUUGCCUCCCAAAGUGCUGGAAUUACAGGCGUGAGCCACCGUGCCCUGCCGACGUUUGGAAUUUAUGAGGAAAGGUACAAGAAUUCUUCUAGGCCAGUAAGUGACAGAACUGCAUGUCCCAGCCUGUGCAGCCCCUUGAGUGCAUGUUCUAGAGCCAUCAGCUCUAGAGUCCUUCCGGUUGUCAAGGUGGGUGUUGUGGGUAAAACACACAUUCCUUCCACCUGGAGAACAGAGCAGCCCUAUCCUCAUGGCACCUGGUUCCUAAGAGUGUGCAGAAGCCGCUGACAGCACCAUAUGGUGGUGCUGGGGGGAAGACGACAGGCAGCUGGGUGGGACUCCAAAGCCUCUCCAGGGGCAGAGCCCUGUGCAGCUUCUGCAUGAGCUGCGGUGGGCAGGGUGGGGCUGGCAGGAGUUGAGCAGGGCCUCCGAGGGAACUGGAGGGCUUACAGCUAGGGGCAUCUGGAGGAGGAACCCAGGACAGUGCUGAGGUGCAGGGCACUGGAGGCAGGAGACGUGGCUGAGUUAGCCUCUGUGUUGGAGGCAGGACUGAUGGGUAUCCGGGGGGAGGCACUCUUGACCUGCCCUGGAUUUCCCUGUGAGUUGUGAUGCUUCCUACUCAGCUACUGAUACCUGCAGGAGAGCUGCCUUUAGGAGGCUUCCAGGAGCAGCCUCUGGAGCAGCUGUGUUACCAGGGAGCCUGAGGCCCCACAGAGGCACCUGAGGUGUCAAAUGGGUCCCGCUCUCCUCGGAAGCUGGGAGUACUGGAAGGUAAGGGCUUUCUGAGGGCACAGUGAACCUGUCCAGGCCACUACGUGAACAUCAGCAAGCCCACCAUGUAGUCUCGGGACCCCAUGCGCUGGAUCUCGUGGUAACAGGUAACCCCCUCGUGACCAGCUUCCGUGUGUUCCUUUUGAUUUGCCCAGGGUCUCGAGUGCCACCUCUCUACCCUGUGAGAUACGCAGAGGACCCUGUAAAUGCCGUGCCCCGCAUGCCUCGGCCUGGGCGUGAGCCGUACGCGGGGGAGGUGGUGACGUUUGUAAUCCAGACGUCGUUUCGUUGCGACUGGGUCACCUGUGAUGCCCUAAGCCCUGAGAACUUUUCAGGAUUGCCAGAUUUAGAAAAUGAAAACGCAAAACUCCAAGUUAAAUUUGAAUUUAAGUAGACAAUGAAUACUUUUUUGGUAUGUGUUCCAAAUAUUGCAUGGGCAAUUUAACUGGGUGUCCUGUAUUUUAUCUGGCUCAACUUUGUUUAGACAGCAGGGUGCACAGCUGAAAAGAUAACUUUUAUAACAUCUUUGCAGCUAGGGGUGGUCACAACAGAGUGCUUUCCUUUGGAAUGAAACUUUUCUAGGAGCAAGUACUUUGCUUCCCUCCUUGGAUUCUGGCUGGAAUUCAAAUGCAAUGCCUGGUGACACAGCAGCCAUGUUGUAACCAUGAAGUGGCUAGCUGUGUAGUAAGGCUGACAGAGCAGGAAGCCAGAAAGGACCCAGAGUCCUGAGGCUUUGGUCCUUCUUUCUAUGUUCAUAUAUAACAUUUGCAUGAAGAAGACACCCACAUCUGUUUAUGCCACUGAUAUUCAGGGCUCUCAGCUGAAUACAGUUUUAACUGAUAUAUACAGGAAACACAUACUUCAAACAAAAUCUCAUGUGAAACUCCAUAUGGGUUGAAGUUCUGGUUAAAGCAGUCUGGUAGGGAGGAAAAAGGGGACAUAGCUUCAUUGCUUGAAUGUCUGUUCCACUCCUUCUCCCUUCUCCCGGAUUUUGGGGGAUGCCCUGUGGAGCCCCUCACUUUCCAUGGAACACAUCUUUAAGCCAGGAAACCACCAACUCUUCCCCACUCUUAGUUGCAUUUUUCUCAACUCUUUAGGACAGGGGUUGAGGAGGGUGUCCUGCGGAUUGCACAAAUGCCUGCUGGACUGAUCAGAGCCCUGGAUCCUAUACCUGGAGUUGGGAGCUUCCCCCAGGGCCCUGCAGCUCCCACCCUGGUUGCUGUGCACCGCGGAAUGGGCCCGUCAGGAAACAGGAAGGCAGCCUGCUCCACUCAGGUCAUUUGUCUGCCUCCUAAUCCAGCUAAGGCACAGGCUGGAGACCUCAGUUAGGGAAGUCCCUUCCCUGCCCCCUUGGGAACACUGGCCCCACCUGGGUGCUGGUUUCACCACUUUGUUACCAAAGUCUGUCACAGACAGGCAUUGGGUGAACUUACAGCUCAGCCUGCAGACGUAGCCCCAGGGCAGCAUGGCUGGACUGAGCUGUGCACAGACGCCUGCUGCGUGCUGUGCCUCCCCUGCGGGUGGAAGUCUUGGCCCCUGGACCCGGCAUUCGAGGCCUUCCGAGACAUUCUGCCCUUGGAAUGCUUGCCUCUCAAUUGAUCUGUCCUGAGUGGCUUGUUAUUAUUUUUUAAUAUUCAAUCGGUCAUGUAUCAGUAGUUAUGCAAAAUGUGGCAAAAAUGAAUGACUGAAGAAAAAUGAAAUGGAAAAAGAAAAAAUCUGAAAAUACACAAAAGCGCACACUGUUUUGCCAUUGGAUUCAACAGACCUGAAACUAUCCUUGCAGGAGCCCCUCGGUGCCCACCUGUAGGCCACGCUCACCAGCUGCACCAGAGCUGUGCUUCCAGCACCCAAAAGCUCCCUCCCUGAGCUGCACCCAGGCCUGCUCCCCACUCUCCUCACCAGCUGCACCCGUAUCUCCCACGGCCCACCCAGGGUACUAUCGAUCCUUUAGUCCUCUUCUGCCAGUGUACCCCAUGGCCCGGGACAACCCCUAGUAUGCAAUGGCUCUUUCUUGUGGGCAAUGCAUGGAGGCACACAUCAGGGCCCUGCUUUUAAGAAGGAAGUACUGAGACCUGGGUGCCGCCUCUUCUAGGAGCCAUGGAUGCCGGGGCUUACCCCCAGAGACUGUGAAUUGAAUGGUUAGGAGGGAGCCUGCACACACCGGAGAGCUCUGAGCACCAGGCGAGUCUCCCAUGUGGCCAGGUUGGGAGCCAUCGCUGUUCAUGUGGCCAGGGCUGCCUUGCCAGAGGAACUCAUCUUACUUUGCCACCAUGAAAAUGUAACUGUUUAUCAUGUCAUGACCUCCCUUGCUACAGUCGCUCUCGUCUUUUGUGUUCUAUUUAAUUUUUUAAAAUGCUGGUGGCCCAGUCACUAAAUUUUUUUUUUUUUUUUACCACCACUCAUGGGCAGGACCUGUUACGUGAGACAUGCACCAAAGCACGGAGAGGGACAGCCACGAUCCUGCCCGGAACGGGUCUUCAGAACUGGGCAGAGCAUGGCUCCUUUUGAUGGGGGCCCCAGAACUCCUUUUCAAAGGCAAUGGCAGGACGGGAUCCACAGUGGGUGGCCCUUUGAUAAGGAGGCAUCCUCCAGCCAGAGUUGACACCACGUGGACAAGGUCUCAAUGCUGCUUAACACUGUUUUGGGUGCAGAACAAAGAGCGGUUGGAACAUUUCUCGUCUAGUCUCCCCCUCUGUACGUGUCCUGUGUUUCUAGCUUGUUCAAAGUGGUCAAAGACCCAAGGCUGGUCUGGCACAGAAGGGGUCGUGCCUACAUGUAGGGAGGCGCUGACCCUUCUGUCUCCCCUUGUAUGUCCCCAGGGACAGGACAGCCCCCUGCCUGUUGUCCCCAGUGUCCUCUGUGAAUGGGGACCAGCUGUCUUUCAGGUAACUCCCUCCUCCUCCACCUCUGUCCACUCGCUCCGGUAGCCACCCCUUCCACGUGCAGUACGGCUCUGCAUCCCUGAGAGCCUCGAUGACUCCUCUCCUCUGCCUCUUCUCUAGUGUUGGGUCCUAUAUCUGUCAGUUAAUUACGUAUUCAUUAUAAGAACAUAUUUCUCUUGGGUCAAUAUUUAACUUUUCAAAUUUAUCUUCUUUACUCAAUAAAUUGUGACCAUGGGUGUCUGUUCCUCGUGGGCUCAACACUGCCAGGCAUGUAGAAAUUGCUUGAUGCAGUUUCACUGGCUUGUGGACAGGCAGUUAUGCUUCUCUGUGCUUCUGUGAUUCCAUGCUAAAGAAAGUCAGUAGCAAGCAAAUAGCAGAGCUUUAGUGGGUAAGGACAGUAUUUUACCUUGAAAAAGGCAGCAGGAAAGAGAGUUAAGACUCAAGUUUCCUUUAUUAAGGAAAAUUGAAAUCUAGGUACCUACAGAUGCUCUUUGACUUAUAUGAUAUGGUUAGGUCUCGAUAAACCCACUGUAAGUCAAAAAUGCUUUUAAUACACCUAACCUACCGAAUGUCUAUGUUACAUAUGCGUAGAGCACUUAUAUUUGCAUCCAGUUGGGCAAAAUCAUCUAACACAAGCUGAUUUUAUUAAUAUUAAAAUUGAUGUAAUAUAUGUACAUAUUUUAGUACAUGUGAUAGUUUAAUAUGUUCAUAUAAUUUGUAUAGGUCAAAUCAGAGUAAUCAGGAGAUCUAUCACCUUAAAUAUUUCUUUAUGCUAAAAACAUUGGAAUUAUUCUAUCUAUUUUGAAACAUACAAUAGAUUGUUAUAAACUUUAGUGUCCCUACUGAUCUAGAACUACCAUGUGAUCCAGAAAUCUCACUAUUGGGCAUAUAUCCAAAAGAAAAAAUUAUUGAAGAGACAUCUGCACUCCAUGUUUUUUGCAGCACUAUUGACAAGAGCCAAGAUGUGGAAUCAAUCUAAGUGCCCAUCAGUGGAUGAAUGGAUAAAGAAAAUGUGGUGUAAAUACACAGUGGAACACUCUUCAGCCAUUUGAAACACAGAUAGAACUGGAGGCCAUUAUGUUAAGUGAAACAAGCCAAACAGAAAGGUAAAUACUGCAUGUUCUCGGAUGUGGGAGCUGAAGUGGAUCUUCUGAAGAUAGAGAAUGGACUGGUGUUACCAGGGGCUGGGAAGGAUUGGGAGUAGGGGGAUGAAGAGAGGUUGAUUAAUGGGUACACAAUCUCACAUAAUGUAUUGUAUGCUUUACUGAAAUAAAAACAGAAUGGUUGUAUGGGUA